rnacentral:rRNA from 1 species
UACGUAGGGUGCGAGCGUUAAUCGGAAUUACUGGGCGUAAAGCGUGCGCAGGCGGUUUUGUAAGCCAGAUGUGAAAUCCCCGGGCUUAACCUGGGAAUGGCAUUUGGGACUGCAAGGCUGGAGUGAGGCAGAGGAGACUGGAAUUCCCGGUGUAGCAGUGAAAUGCGUAGAUAUCGGGAGGAAUACCGAUGGCGAAGGCAGCCCCCUGGGCCAAUACUGACGCUCAUGCACGAAAGCGUGGGGAGCAAACAGG